rnacentral:misc_RNA from 1 species
AACGCAAGUUGCGCUCCCAUUUGCGUGGGAGCAUGCCUCUUUGAGUGUCGGUUUCCACACUCCUCCGCCGGUGUGCAUGUCACCAUGCGCACCGUGUCGGGACUGCACUGCGCCGUCGCGUGCCGCUGAGGCGCGCGUCGCGUGAAGCUUCGAGACGUGUCCGGCAUCGUGGCACCCGUGCCGCCUCUUGCACCGUCCGACGUGGGUAGGUUUCGGGGCGUUCGCGCUCCAAACACGACACGGCGGACCUCGUGCGUGCGGGGGCGACCAUGUGUGUGCCCGUGCCAUCCAAAGGACUUCGUGCGCGCUCCCCGCUGCUCUUCGCAGCGGCCCGGGCGCCGCGCCGGGCUCCGGCUCCGGCGCGAAAGCACCACGACUCGACCUCAAAUGAGGCAAGAAGACCCGCCGAAUUUAA